CAUUUGGUUAACAUUUGUGAACUUGUUCAUGAUUCUUUUAAACGUUGAAAGAUAUUUAUUCUAAAGAAUUUUAAAAACAGACGAUGGUGAUUAAAAAUUUCCUAGGCGCGUAUAGUUUCGUAGGAAGAGGAUAUGAUUGGUCGGCAUAAAGAAUACAUGGUAACCGAGUUGACCGAUCAUGGGCCAUGGAUGGUCGUUGGGUCGGUUGAGGAGACCGUUGUAACAGUACCUCACGUGCCAUAGAGAUCCCAUAACCGGCUGCGCGUAAAAAAAUACGCUUCGGUGCAAUCGGUCAGUUGGGAUGCAACCGAAGCGAAAAGUAUAGUCGAGCAACUGUGAAAAUAAAUAUCUUGGAAAAUUCUGAGUUGGGCUCCAAAAGAAAAGCAAAGGAUUUGGGAAAAGUAUCGGUCCCAAAGUCAAGAAGAAGAAGAAGAAGAAGAAGAAG